UCGAGGAGGAAAGCCCCGAACGUCAAGUGCGUUCUCUCGUGAGCCACAGCUACAGUACAAGAAACACUUCCGACAAGCGAGGCUUUAUAAUCGACACAGACAUCAAAGUAUUAGACAGACAGCAUACGUGCUGAUCGAUUAGGUUUAUCUCGACGAUCCACUGGACCUUUAACUCUCAGGUUCACUUCAGUCGUGAGUAGGAUUGUAGGCUACUCAACGUCGAGUUAAAGUAGCCCAACUCCACUGCGGAAGUUAAACUCCGAAGACUUCAAAACGGCGACUCUAAGAGUGAAGACAUCUUAUCAAGCGGAUACAAGGCCUACAGAAAACACGCACCUUGCAGCGGACAUGUACGGCAUAGCAGGGAUGCCAGAUCUUCUGCCGCCGACAGGCUCUCUCCAACCGAGUGUCAUGCUCAUGGCCAACCCGCUGAACGGCCCCGCGGAUCAGAAUGCUCUCCACCGCCACCCGCCUCAGAGGAUUGCACAGCGAGCUCCGAAACUGGGUCAGAUCGGGCGUUCAAAGAGAGUUGACCUGGGAGAUGAAGACUUGGACAUAACGAGCAACAACAGACGAUUCCCCAUCUCCAUGGAGGUAUCACCAGUUGCCUAAAACUGAAAGACUGUGCCAAUUCUUACCAGUCGCCUUUUUUUUUGUUGUUUUUGUUUUUUAAAGGGAGCCAAGCCUUGAUCUUUGAUCGUCGUUCAUCUCACUCACAUACUCCAUGGUAAAAUACUCUGUCAUCAUAAGGAUGUAAGACCAUUCUGUCGCCACAUUUACAUUUUAUUCAUGUAAUUCACGAUGAGAUUUAAACACUGGCUGUGACAUGGAAUGGCUUAAAUCUAAUUUUAGGGGAAAAAAAACAUCUGGUAUGGAGUGUCGGGGCUUUUUUUUCCUUUUCUCGUCUUCUGCACUUUACACAAUACAUAAAAAGCUAACUGUUAACCUCACUUUGUCAGGGUUGCAUAAUAGAGGCUAGGAAGUGUGACCGUUAUUGUUAUUUUGUUACUCAUUUGACAAGUUGGGUAUUAAUCUUUUGGAUUUUUCUUAACCUGAAAACUAGUGACUGGGAGGUUUAGCCUGGUAGAUAUUUAUGGAAGAUUCUUCCUUCAUAUCAGGUUUGUGAGGGUCACUUUAUACGGGAAAUUCUUUCAGUACAAUUAUGUUUUGUUUUUUUUAAACUAGUGUUGUGCUUUCAAAGUAAUUGUCUAGUGACAUGAUUUGUAGUGUAUGUAUGAUAUACAGUGAACAUUUUGACCUUUUUCAUGAAUAUUCAAAAUAUUUUUGCAUGGAGCAAUUUACAUUUUUUUGUAAAGUGCAAUUUUGGAAAUAAACUAUGCAUGACUGUUGAUAAAUGCAUCCUUCUAAAAGCUCAA